AUUGAACGCUGGCGGCAUGCCUUACACAUGCAAGUCGAACGGCAGCACGGGAGCAAUCCUGGUGGCGAGUGGCGAGCGGGUGAGUAAAGUAUCGGAACGUGCCCAGUCGUGGGGGAUAACGUAGCGAAAGUUACGCUAAUACCGCAUACGAUCUAUGGAUGAAAGCGGGGGAUCGCAAGACCUCGCGCGAUUGGAGCGGCCGAUAUCAGAUUAGGUAGUUGGUGGGGUAAAGGCUCACCAAGCCGACGAUCUGUAGCUGGUCUGAGAGGACGACCAGCCACACUGGGACUGAGACACGGCCCAGACUCCUACGGGAGGCAGCAGUGGGGAAUUUUGGACAAUGGGCGAAAGCCUGAUCCAGCCAUGCCGCGUGCAGGAUGAAAGCCUUCGGGUUGUAAACUGCUUUUGUACGGAACGAAAAGGUUUGGGCUAAUAAGCUGAGCUCAUGACGGUACCGUAAGAAUAAGCACCGGCUAACUACGUGCCAGCCGCCGCGGUAA
rnacentral:rRNA from 1 species